CUACCAUGCAGUCGAACGGCAGCACAGGAGAGCUUGCUCUCUGGGUGGCGAGUGGCGGACGGGUGAGGAAUACAUCGGAAUCUACCUAGUCGUGGGGGAUAACGUAGGGAAACUUACGCUAAUACCGCAUACGACCUUCGGGUGAAAGUGGGGGACCUUCGGGCCUCACGCGAUUAGAUGAGCCGAUGUCGGAUUAGCUAGUUGGAGGGGUAAUGGCCCACCAAGGCGACGAUCCGUAGCUGGUCUGAGAGGAUGAUCAGCCACACUGGAACUGAGACACGGUCCAGACUCCUACGGGAGGCAGCAGUGGGGAAUAUUGGACAAUGGGCGCAAGCCUGAUCCAGCCAUACCGCGUGGGUGAAGAAGGCCUUCGGGUUGUAAAGCCCUUUUGUUGGGAAAGAAAUCCUACUGAUUAAUACUUGGUGGGGAUGACGGUACCCAAAGAAUAAGCACCGGCUAACUUCGUGCCAGCAGCCGCGGUAAUACGAAGGGUGCAAGCGUUACUCGGAAUUACUGGGCGUAAAGCGUGCGUAGGUGGUUGUUUAAGUCUGCUGUGAAAGCCCUGGGCUCAACCUGGGAAUUGCAGUGGAUACUGGGCGACUAGAGUGUGGUAGAGGAUAGUGGAAUUUCCGGUGUAGCAGUGAAAUGCGUAGAGAUCGGAAGGAACAUCUGUGGCGAAGGCGACUAUCUGGGCCAACACUGACACUGAGGCACGAAAGCGUGGGGAGCAAACAGGAUUAGAUACCCUGGUAGUCCACGCCCUAAACGAUGCGAACUGGAUGUUGGGUUCAACUUGGAACCCAGUAUCGAAGCUAACGCGUUAAGUUCGCCGCCUGGGGAGUACGGUCGCAAGACUGAAACUCAAAGGAAUUGACGGGGGCCCGCACAAGCGGUGGAGUAUGUGGUUUAAUUCGAUGCAACGCGAAGAACCUUACCUGGUCUUGACUCCACGGAACUUUCCAAAGAUGGAUUGGUGCCUUCGGGAACCGUGAAACAGGUGCUGCAUGGCUGUCCUCAGCUCGUGGCCUGAAAUGUUGGGUUAAUUCCGCAACGAGCGCACCCUUGUCCUUAUUGCCCGCCCUAAU
rnacentral:rRNA from 1 species